UACGUAGGGGCCUAGCGUUGUCCGGAAUUAUUGGGCGUAAAGAGCGUGUAGGCGGCCCGAUUAGUCCGCUGUGAAAGUCCAGGGCUCAACCCUGGAAUGCCGGUGGAUACUGUCGGGCUAGAGUCCGGAAGGGGCGAGUGGAAUUCCUGGUGUAGCGGUGAAAUGCGCAGAUAUCAGGAGGAACACCAAUAGCGAAGGCAGCUCGCUGGGACGGUACUGACGCUGAGGCGCGAAAGCGUGGGGAGCGAACAGG
rnacentral:rRNA from 1 species